UGAGGAAUAUUGGACAAUGGAGGCAACUCUGAUCCAGCCAUGCCGCGUGAAGGAAUACGGCCCUAUGGGUCGUAAACUUCUUUUGACGCAGAGCAAUAAGGACUACGAGUAGUCCGAUGAGAGUAUGCGUCGAAUAAGCAACGGACAACCCCGUGCCAGCAGCCGCGGUAAUACGGAGGAUGCAAGCGUUAUCCGGAUUUAUUGGGUUUAAAGGGUGCGUAGGCUGAAGAUCAAGUCAGCGGUGAAAUGUCCCGGCUCAACCGGGGCCUUGCCGUUGAAACUGGUCAUCUGGAAUGCGGAUGCCGUGGGAGGAAUGUGUGGUGUAGCGGUGAAAUGCAUAGAUAUCACACAGAACACCGAUUGCGAAGGCAUCUCACGAAUCCGCUAUUGACGCUGAGGCACGAAAGCGUGGGGAUCAAACAGG
rnacentral:rRNA from 1 species